rnacentral:rRNA from 1 species
UACAGAGGUCUCGAGCGUUAGGCGGGAUCACUGGGCUUAAAGCGUGUGUAGGUGGAUCGUUAAGUACCUUGUGAAAUCCCACGGCUUAACCGUGGAACUGCUUGGUAUACUGGCGGUCUUGAGCCACUUAGGGGCUACCGGAACAAAUGGUGGAGCGGUGAAAUGCGUAGAUAUCAUUUGGAACGCCAAUGGUGAAAACAGGUAGCUGGGAGUGUGCUGACACUGAGACACGAAAGCCAGGGGAGCAAACGGG